rnacentral:lncRNA from 12 species
GGAAAGUUUUGCAGAGGGAGCUGCAAAGAAAGGAGGAAAACAGACUUUGUGGAAGGCUUAACAACAGAACUUGAGACAUGAUGAGCUCACAAACAAUCUGGAACCUCAGAAUCUGUUAGGAUUAGUGCCCGAGCUGCAGCAGCAUAAGACCUGCAACAUCAGUUCUGCCAAGAACCUUGCUUGAGCCAUGGAAAGAUUUUGUGUAUCCUCUUACAUAGAGUCAUCUACAGCUUGAUGAAGCCACCCAAGAUCUAGGAAGGAGAACCAAUCUGCCAUGUCUCAGCUUCUGCAGUUUCCAGCUGUCGUUGUGGCUGGAAGGGAAAGUUAAGGGGCACUGGACGAGCUGC